CUUUCCCUCGCCCUAAAACCGCUCUGAACGGACCCCCACUCCGCCCUGACUCUUUCUAUUCCGUUACCCACAAUAAACCUCGCCCUAAUGAACAUUACCACACCAGAAACGGCUGCUAUUGAUGCCUUAACAUUGAAGAUGCGCCGCUCCGCUUCGGCUCUCUGCUAUGGUAUAAAAGGGGGGCCCGAGGAACCUCUAUUCGCCCUGCAUCUCCCAGUCCAUGAACCCCUCUCCAACGCCCUUCGAUUCCCGAGCAAUUGCUCGUCGGAGUCGAGGCCGCCGUCUUCUUCCAUUGAAGCUCACGACCUCUCUACAUCAAGCCAGAGCACGACCUCCGCGAAGAACGCAACUGACCGGAGCUCCAUGCAACUCCGGCGAUAUCUCCACGACACUCGAGGAAGGAGACGAGCACCUAUCUGUGUCCCUCGCGACCGCCUCGUCGACCUCUACACUGUCCAACCGUUCAAUGACGCCGGGGGUUUUCUUCUCGAACUCCGGCAAAACUCCAGCGAACUCUCACGAUUGCGACGAGUGCGAAGGUGAAUUCUAUGAGGAGGUAGAACCUUGUGACUACGAAACCGAAGGCAAGUUGCAAAUUGAUCAUGCUUCGACCUAUAUUUUCAUACUAUGCAUAACUCUUUAAAUUUUAAUACUAUGCAUGUUUUAUAAAAGUUUUGCAAAGUAUUAUAUUUAUCUAGAGCCAUAGGUUCAAGACUCACCAUUUUCCAUGCUUGCACAAAAUGGGUGGGAUGAAAACCAAACUUGUUUUCAACUUUAAACUUGCUCUCUUUGGAGCAAAGUUUGAGAAAAUCUUUUUAAAACAAAAUUAUAUAUUGUUUUACUUCUAUUCCCUGGGUGGGAUGGUAUGACGGGAGCGUCUACAAGUGAUUGCGCCCAUCGGGGUCUUGCAGCGAAUGCGCCCGACUGGGGUCUUGCACACAGGUUUUGGUGGGGAUUACCGUCCACGGGAAUGAGAUCUUCCAAGUAUAGUUCGAUGUAGCUUCCAGUACGGCCACAUGCUACUAUGGGCUCUGGCUUAGCUUAGUACUAACGGGAAACCCUUACCUCAGGACCGCCAUCGGAGAGGAGCUUUCAUUUCCUAAGUUGCAGGCGGCUUGGUCGGGUAUAGGGGGUUGUUACGGAAAGGCUUCGUCGCAAUGUCCUCCUAGUCGUACACCCAAGUGUGUAACGAUAAACGGGGUUGGUUGUGUCAUGUGGGGAACGUGUACGACCUCUGUAGAGAGUUUAACCUAAUCGAUUAGCCGUGCCCCCGGUUAUGGGAAAAUUGAGCAACUGAAGACUUGGACUGAAGAAGAAUCUCCCCUCUCUUUUCUAAAAAUCUAUUUAAGGGUUAAAGUUGAGGAAUGAGCACAGUGAAUGUGUUUCACUUCAACCUUAUGUAUGUUUUAAACUAUUUUAGAGAAUGAGCACUAGUGUGUAUAUCCAAGUGUCUCGCUCCUACUUUUAUACUAAAAAAACUAUUUAUUUCAAAGAAGUUUUACAAAAUUUAGUAUUGUAGAAAAUUGGCUUUAUGCAAAGGAACCCUCCACCAAUAUUUACCCUGCAUAUAUAAUCUGUUAUACUCUCCUUUGCAACUUGCGAGUACAUUCCACGUACUCAUCUGCACCUGUCAUGUGCAGAUCUCGACAGAUUAAGAGACGAUAGGGUUAUGGUCUACACUCAACGAGCCCAGUGGCAUUGAUGGAGCCUAACUUAGCGACUACGUAUAAUUCCGCUGUAUUAUCUGCCAGCUUGAGCUGUGCCUAAGCUAUGAUCCAGGGAUAGCACAGUAAGCACAGAGACUUGGAUUUUACCAAAUCCGGGUCGUUACACUAAUACUCUGUAAAGCUUCUCGGUCAUUCCUUCUGUAAUGUAGUGCAAACAAUGACUGCUUCUUUCUGCAAAGUGGAACGACCAACAAGACCCUGUAAUGCAGCAGUUUGCCUUGGACACAUUGGCUCCUUUUGUGCAGCUGAACUAAAAUCGAAGUCGGAAUAAAACCAAGCUUUAAUUUUGAU